rnacentral:pre_miRNA from 1 species
UUCUAUUGCUGCUGGUGAUGAUGGUGAUGAUGAUGAUGAUGAUGAUGAUGAUGGUCACCAUUAUCAUCAUCAUCAUCAUCGUCAUCGUCAUGGCAA